rnacentral:RNase_P_RNA from 1 species
GAAAAGAAACAUGGCCGUGCCGCAGUCCGAUGAUGAAAUCGUCUUGCGGCGAGGAAAAGUCCGGGCUCCGCCGGAAAGAAUGCCGGGCAAUAACCGGGGGAUUUCAAGAGAAUCGCUUUGCGAGAAUUUUGAAAUCCACAGAGAGCGCAACAGAAAGCAUACUGCCCGUUUAUGCGGGCGAUGGUGAAAAGGCGUGGUAAGAGCACACCGGCCGCUCGGCAACGUGCGGCGCAUUGCAAACCUCAUUUGGAGCAAGGUCAAGAAGCGGCGGCAUUUCCGGGUCUUGCCGCGGGUAGACCGCUAAAAUUUUCGGGCGACCGGAAAUUCAGAUAGAUGGCCAUUGGCGGAAUUCCGCCAGCCAGAACCCGGCUUACCGUUUCUUUUCCGUU